rnacentral:rRNA from 1 species
CCUAGAAAAAAUCUAAGGCGAAGCCUGCCCAGUGGCUAAGAAAAAGAAUAAAAUCUUAAAAUAAGUUAAAAGGACGCAGUAUACUGACUGUGAUAAUGUAGCAUAAUCAAUCGCCAUCUAAUUAAUGGAUAGUAUGAACGGCUAAACGAAUCCUUCACUUUCUAAAAAGGAGAAAAACUUAAAUUUAAAUAAUAGUAAAGAUGCUAUUUGAAAUUGUAAGACGAAAAGACCCUAUAGAGCUUAACUAUAAACUUCUGUAUCUAGAAGGAUGGUAGUUUAGUUGGGGCGACUGCCUUCUAAAAAAAACGAAGGCAAACAAAGUUAAUAAACAACUUAUUGUAAAACUAAUAAGUUUAACAAUUACUAAAGUAGGUAUAUAGACCCGUUAUAAGAAACAAAUAUAAAUAACGAUCAAUAAAUAAAAGCUACCUUAGGGAUAACAGAAUAAUUUUGUUCUAGAGACCUUAUCGAAAACAAAGUUUGUCACCUCUAUGUUGAAUUAAGGUAUCCUGACAAAGCAGAACUUGUCUAAGGUAGGUCUGUUCGACCUUUAAAAC